rnacentral:rRNA from 1 species
UACGAAGGGGGCUAGCGUUGCUCGGAUUACUGGGCGUAAAGGGCUCGUAGGUGGCCAACUAAGUCGGACGUGAAAUCCCUCAGCUUAACUGGGGAACUGCGUCCGAUACUGGAUGGCUUGAGUUUGGGAGAGGGAUGCGGAAUUCCAGGUGUAGCGGUGAAAUGCGUAGAUAUCUGGAGGAACACCGGUGGCGAAGGCGGCAUCCUGGACCAACACUGACACUGAGGAGCGAAAGCCAGGGGAGCAAACGGG